AUGUGAUAUUGAAAUCAAUUUGGGUGAGACGAUUAAUAAGGCAAUCGUUUAAUUUUCUUAACAUAUAAAUAAAAAACCGGUCAUCGCAUGUACUCACACGACUUUCCACAGGCAGCAGUCAUUGUUGUUGGCGGCGUUUGCGUUGGGCACAUUUAAAACGGCCAAAACUAAUAUCCGCCAUAUUGACACAGACGUUGUCGUCAGGAAAAUCGUAUCUCCUUGCGCAGUAGAGACAACGGAUGCCACCUGAGUCGCUAUAUUCGGAUGGUUGAAGUUUCGGAGUCUUCAUUACACAUCCCGUGAACUUUUAUAAGUCACAU